rnacentral:rRNA from 1 species
GAUGAACGCUAGCGGCAGGCCUAAUACAUGCAAGUCGAACGGUGUCUUCGGACAUAGUGGCGCACGGGUGCGUAACACGUAUGCAACCUACCUUACAUUGGGGGAUAGCCUUUCGAAAGGGAGAUUAAUACCGCAUAAGACAGUAGCUGGGCAUCCAGCAGCUGUUAAAGAUUUAUCGAUGUAAGCUGGGCAUGCGUCCAAUUAGCUAGUUGGUGAGGUAACGGCUCACCCAGGGAAUGAUUGGUAGGGGAACUGAGAGGUCAAUCCCCCACACUGGCACUGAGAUACGGGCCAGACUCCUACGGGAGGCAGCAGUAGGGAAUAUUGGGCAAUGGACGCAAGUCUGACCCAGCCAUGCCGCGUGCAGGAUGAAGGCGUUAUGCGUUGUAGACUGCUUUUAUACAGGAAGAAACGACUCUUGCGAGGGGCAUUGACGGUACUGUAUGAAUAAGCACCGGCUAACUCCGUGCCAGCCGCCGCGGUAACAC